rnacentral:rRNA from 1 species
UUGAAAGAUGGUUUCGGCUAUCGCUUACAGAUGGGCCCGCGGUGCAUUAGCUAGUUGGUAGGGUAAUGGCCUACCAAGGCAACGAUGCAUAGCCGACCUGAGAGGGUGAUCGGCCACACUGGGACUGAGACACGGCCCAGACUCCUACGGGAGGCAGCAGUAGGGAAUCUUCCGCAAUGGACGAAAGUCUGACGGAGCAACGCCGCGUGUAUGAAGAAGGUUUUCGGAUCGUAAAGUACUGUUGUUAGAGAAGAACAAGGAUAAGAGUAACUGCUUGUCCCUUGACGGUAUCUAACCAGAAAGCCACGGCUAACUACGUGCCAGCAGCCGCGGUAAUACGUAGGUGGCAAGCGUUGUCCGGAUUUAUUGGGCGUAAAGCGCGCGCAGGCGGUCUUUUAAGUCUGAUGUGAAA